UGGGAUGGUGAUGACAGCUGCCGGCGUGUCAGUCUUGGGAAUGAAUAAUUCGUGUCUGAAACGCUGAGGCCCAG